CCUACGGGAGGCAGCAGUGAGGAAUAUUGGUCAAUGGACGAGAGUCUGAACCAGCCAAGUAGCGUGAAGGAUGACUGCCCUAUGGGUUGUAAACUUCUUUUAUAAAGGAAUAAAACGAGGCACGCGUGCCUUUUCGAAGGUACCUUACGAAUAAGGAUCGGCUAACUCCGUGCCAGCAGCCGCGGUAAUACGGAGGAUCCGAGCGUUAUCCGGAUUUAUUGGGUUUAAAGGGAGCGUAGGUGGGUUGUUAAGUCAGUUGUGAAAGUUUGCGGCUCAACCGUAGAAUUGCAUUUGAUACUGGCAGUCUUGAGUACAGUAGAGGUAGGCGGAAUUCGUGGUGUAGCGGUGAAAUGCUUAGAUAUAACGAAGAACCCCGAUUGCGAAGGCAGCUUACU
rnacentral:rRNA from 1 species